rnacentral:rRNA from 1 species
AGGAUGGCGACCGGCGCACGGGUGAGUAACACGUAUCCAACCUGCCGAUAACUCGGGGAUAGCCUUUCGAAAGAAAGAUUAAUACCCGAUGGCAUAAUUAGACCGCAUGGUCUUAUUAUUAAAGAAUUUCGGUUAUCGAUGGGGAUGCGUUCCAUUAGGCAGUUGGUGAGGUAACGGCUCACCAAACCUUCGAUGGAUAGGGGUUCUGAGAGGAAGGUCCCCCACAUUGGAACUGAGACACGGUCCAA